UCCCCACCUCCCCAUCCUCCGGAUCCAAUCCGGAUCGACGCGGAGAGGGGAGGGCGACGGUGCACGGAGGGGGCGAACGACGGUGUGCGAUGCGACGGCACAUCGACGGCUCAGUUCCGAGUUGCGAGGUGCCACAAGAUCUCGCUGCAGCGUCGUCGUCCAUGUCGCUGUGGCCGACGACGACAUGCUGCUCGACGCUGCGGCCCUCUCCUUUGUGUUCACCGCCUGGAAGCAGCAGCAGCAGUAUCUGGCGGCGGCCGGCCCCCUCAUCGGCUUCUUCCCUGGUUGCACCACCUCGACCUCACCCGCGGGAAGUGGGCGACCACGAUGGUCUACUGAGUUUUGACCUGAGAAAGCAAAUUCUGUUUUCCGAUGUGAACUAGCACAUCCUUGUAUGUGUAGCCCUGAUUUCCUUGGGUACUCAAUCUGAAUGCAAUCUGAGUUAUCUGGUUGUUCACCUUGAUGGAUUGCCCUAUCUUGGAUGCUAUUUGUGACAAAGACAAAACUUAUAUAUUAGUGGAAGUGACAUUCUUUAUCAAGAUGUGUUGUCUCGUUGAGUAGUGCGUUGACUUGUAUUGUCCUUAAUACAAACAUGACCCACAAUUUGAAGUCAUUCGAUGACACUUUUGUAUGGUUUUCAGUAAGUGACCUAGAUGGUGUUGCUCCUUGUCUCUGUUUUCACUUGGAAAAAUAUCAGUACCAGUUGUCUGUUCUAUAAGUGAUACUAUUUCUUUCUUAGGUGUUGUCACUUGAGUUACCACCUACCUGCUGAAGUCUCUUGGUGCUAAACUGUUGAUGUCAUAUUUUGCAACUCCUUGGUUGUUUUUGAGCCUUCUUUUUUCAUUUUUUCUGAUUUAUGUCCUAUGGUAAGCGUUUGUGGCGUUGACAUCCCAAGAUUUUGCCAUCCAUCUGAACAGAGUCCUGCUAUGUAAUUCCAUCUGAAUAUUAGUCAUGGUGGCAACGGGAAACCAUGGAUGUGGACAAUUUGGUGCCAUGUUUGCUUUUCUUUUGUUUUCUUAAGCACGAGUUGAUUCUAGUGAUGCUUUGUUAUCUACUAUUUUUAAUUUCUCAAGUCAAGGGACUAUCUAGAUAGACUGUCAUAGCUUCCUGUUUACCUUUGUUUAUGCUAAAUGCAGUAAAUUCUUUCAUACUGCUUGUUAUCUUCGUAUGAUAUUCAAAUGUGUCCUAAUAUCUCCCCAUUGAUUCAGGUUUCAACGAAAUGAACUGGCAUGGAUGUUUUAACGAAUUGGGAAGCUACUAGAUGUUUCAGGUCUAGAACACUCACAUUUCCAUGGAGUUGAAAGGCUUUGACAGUUUACCUACUGCAAGUGACUUCUACAAGUUUGGAUUAAGAAGACUCUCUCCUAGAUGCUACUAUAUGUUACCAGAUGCUGAGUUAUGUCAUGUGAUCUAUGAAAUGUUGACAUGAGUUGAGUACUGUAUUGUUUAUUCCCUGUAUCUGCAGCAUCAUUGUUUCUACAGUUUGGAUUAACAAACUAGUCGUGCUUUGGGUCCAUGGGGAAGUCGUAUUUUCCUCAUGAAUAUUUGCUAGUUAGUGAUAAGAAGAAAACCAUAUAGGAAUUGAUCUCAAAAGCUAGAGAGGAGGUAUGUUAAAUUAUUGCAACGGUGCAUUGUGGGACAAUUUGUAUGUGCCGGAUGUGGAAAGUUUGUAUGUUUGAUGAGUUGCUGCUGGUAAAUUUAAUUGUUGAAAUCCUGUUGAA